AUACGGAGGGUGCGAGCGUUAAUCGGAAUUACUGGGCGUAAAGCGUACGUAGGCGGUUUGCUAAGUCAGAUGUGAAAGCCCCGGGCUUAACCUGGGAACUGCAUUUGAUACUGGCAGACUAGAGUAUGAUAGAGGGGGGUAGAAUUCCUGGUGUAGCGGUGAAAUGCGUAGAUAUCAGGAGGAAUACCAGUGGCGAAGGCGGCCCCCUGGAUCAAUACUGACGCUGAGGUACGAAAGCGUGGGGAGCGAACAGGAUUAGAUACCCUAGUAGUCC
rnacentral:rRNA from 1 species